rnacentral:rRNA from 1 species
CCUACGGGAUGCAGCAGUAGGGAAUCUUCGGCAAUGGACGAAAGUCUGACCGAGCAACGCCGCGUGAGUGAAGAAGGUUUUCGGAUCGUAAAACUCCGUUGUUAGAGAAGAACAAGUAGGAGAGUAACUGCUCUUACCUUGACGGUAUCUAACCAGAAAGCCACGGCUAACUACGUGCCAGCAGCCGCGGUAAUACGUAGGUGGCAAGCGUUGUCCGGAUUUAUUGGGCGUAAAGCGAGCGCAGGCGGUCUUUUAAGUCUGAUGUGAAAGCCCUCGGCUCAACCGAGGAAGGUCAUUGGAAACUGGAGGACUUGAGUGCAGAAGAGGAGAGUGGAAUUCCAUGUGUAGCGGUGAAAUGCGUAGAUAUAUGGAGGAACACCAGUGGCGAAGGCGACUCUCUGGUCUGUAACUGACGCUGAGGCUCGAAAGCGUGGGGAGCAAACAGGAUUAGAUACCCUCGUAGUC